GUGGGGAAUUUUGGACAAUGGGCGCAAGCCUGAUCCAGCAAUGCCGCGUGUGUGAAGAAGGCCUUCGGGUUGUAAAGCACUUUUGUCCGGAAAGAAAUGGCCUGGGUUAAUACCCCGGGUCGAUGACGGUACCGGAAGAAUAAGCACCGGCUAACUACGUGCCAGCAGCCGCGGUAAUACGUAGGGUGCGAGCGUUAAUCGGAAUUACUGGGCGUAAAGCGUGCGCAGGCGGCGAUGCAAGACAGAUGUGAAAUCCCCGGGCUCAACCUGGGAACUGCAUUUGUGACUGCAUGGCUAGAGUGCGUCAGAGGGGGGUGGAAUUCCGCGUGUAGCAGUGAAAUGCGUAGAGAUGCGGAGGAACACCGAUGGCGAAGGCAGCCCCCUGGGAUGACACUGACGCUCAUGCACGAAAGCGUGGGGAGCAAACAGGAUUAGAUACCCUAGUAGUCC
rnacentral:rRNA from 1 species